UACACUUACCUUCAAAAUAUAAAGAAGUUAGUGCAAAAGUGACAUCUAAUGGAUCCUUCAUUUCAUCUUUAUUUUAAACUUUACUGCAAUAACUCCGUUACAUAUGGUGGAAACUAUUAAUUAGUAAACAUUUUAAAUUAAUUUAUUUCUCCUCAGUUGUUGAUUUUCUCCAUUUCUUCCAAAGUUCUUAUUUUCAUUUCAGGCCCUCUCUUUCAUACCCACGAUUUCCUUUGUGUUUGGCGCCAAAGAAAGAGCUAUGGCAGAAGCCACCAUCUUCCGCCGACUUCGCUAGUGGACUCCAUAGCUGACCAAGGUCGUUCUUGUGCUCAAGCUCUCCUCUCUACGGUUAAGCAUUCCUGGAAACCCACAACUGAGGAGAGAAGAAACCAUACAACAUGUUUUAUGGUCUUGCCCAGCAGUAAGUGACGUGUGGGCAGAGAAUAAAAGUAGACUUCAGAAGUGGAAGGGCUAUGGAACUAGUGGUAGAAUUGGAUGCCAAGAAUGUGUCGUUUGAAGGAGAUGCCCAAAAAGUAAUUAAAUAAAUAUAUGACAAGGAAGCUCCAUGUGCAUGAAUGGGGCAGCUAGUUGAAGACAUAAUAUACAAAGUAUCUCGUAGACUAAACUGGACAAUCGGAUUUAUCUCUCGAGAAGGAAACUGUGUGGCUCAUGAGCUUGCAAAAAGGGCCUUGAGGAUGGAAGGUGAAUGCUGUUGGAUUAGAGAGGGAUCUGUAGAUGUUUAUCCUAUUGCAAAAGAGAAAAGUUAUAAAUAAUUAUGUAUUACCUUUGCUGCUGUGGCCUUUGUACUCUUUUAUGAUAGUGGAAGUGGUUGGUUCAACUUUGGCAUAUAUUACUCCAUUAUUGAUUAGAACUAGUUUUACUUUGGCAUUUCUUUUCUUUAAUUUUAUCUGAUGGAGACAAGACUCUAAAGUGAUCAUAAAGAACUCUCUUUGUUCACAAA